rnacentral:rRNA from 1 species
AUUGAACGCUGGCGGCAGGCCUAACACAUGCAAGUCGAACGGUAACAGGAAGAAGCUUGCUUCUUUGCUGACGAGUGGCGGACGGGUGAGUAAUGUCUGGGAAACUGCCUGAUGGCGGGGGAUAACUACUGGAAACGGUAGCUAAUACCGCAUAACGUCGCAAGACCAAAGUGGGGGACCUUCGGGCCUCUUGCCAUCGGAUGUGCCCAGAUGGGAUUAGCUAGUAGGUGGGGUAACGGCUCACCUAGGCGACGAUCCCUAGCUGGUCUGAGAGGAUGACCAGCCACACUGGAACUGAGACACGGUCCAGACUCCUACGGGAGGCAGCAGUGGGGAAUAUUGCACAAUGGGCGCAAGCCUGAUGCAGCCAUGCCGCGUGUAUGAAGAAGGCCUUCGGGUUGUAAAGUACUUUCAGCGGGGAGGAAGGGAGUAAAGUUAAUACCUUUGCUCAUUGACGUUACCCGCAGAAGAAGCACCGGCUAACUCCGUA